rnacentral:rRNA from 1 species
UGAGGAAUAGUGGUCAAUGGGCGAGAGCCUGAACCAGCCAAGUAGCGUGCAGGAUGACGGCCCUAUGGGUUGUAAACUGCUUUUAUGUGGGGAUAAAGUGCGUGACGUGUCAUGCAUUGCAGGUACCACAUGAAUAAGGACCGGCUAAUUCCGUGCCAGCAGCCGCGGUAAUACGGAAGGUCCGGGCGUUAUCCGGAUUUAUUGGGUUUAAAGGGAGCGUAGGCUGUCUAUUAAGCGUGUUGUGAAAUUUACCGGCUCAACCGGUGGCUUGCAGCGCGAACUGGUCGACUUGAGUAUGCAGGAAGUAGGCGGAAUUCAUGGUGUAGCGGUGAAAUGCUUAGAUAUCAUGACGAACUCCGAUUGCGCAGGCAGCUUACUGUAGCAUAACUGACGCUGAUGCUCGAAAGUGCGGGUAUCAAACAGG